rnacentral:rRNA from 1 species
AAUGCGCUGAGAGAGGAGUCCGCGGCCGAUUAGCUAGUUGGUAGGGUAAUGGCCUACCAAGGCGACGAUCGGUAGCCGGCCUGAGAGGGCACACGGCCACACUGGCACUGAGACACGGGCCAGACUCCUACGGGAGGCAGCAGUGGGGAAUCUUGCACAAUGGGGGAAACCCUGAUGCGGCGACGCCGCGUGAGUGAUGACGCCCUUCGGGGUGUAAAGCUCUUUCGACGGGAACGAUAAUGACGGUACCCGGAGAAGAAGCUGCGGCUAACUACGUGCCAGCAGCCGCGGUAAUACGUAGGCAGCAAGCGUUGUUCGGAAUUACUGGGCGUAAAGAGUACGUAGGUGGUUUGCUAAGUCUGAUGUGAAAUCUCCCGGCUUAACUGGGAGGGUGCGUUAGAUACUGGCAGGCUUGAGUGUGGGAGAGGAGAGCGGAAUUCCUGGUGUAGCGGUGAAAUGCGUAGAUAUCAGGAGGAACGCCUGUGGUGUAGACGGCUCUCUGGACCAUUACUGACACUGAGGUACGAAAGCGUGGGUAGCAAACAGGAUUAGAU